rnacentral:rRNA from 1 species
UACGUAGAGCGCAAGCGUUAUCCGGAAUUAUUGGGCGUAAAGAGCUCGUAGGCGGUUUGUCGCGUCUGCCGUGAAAGUCCGGGGCUCAACUCCGGAUCUGCGGUGGGUACGGGCAGACUAGAGUGAUGUAGGGGAGACUGGAAUUCCUGGUGUAGCGGUGAAAUGCGCAGAUAUCAGGAGGAACACCGAUGGCGAAGGCAGGCCUCUGGGCAGUAACUGACGCUGAGGAGCGAAAGCGUGGGGAGCGAACAGG